GCGUCUCCAAGUUGUUGAAAAAUAAGGCCUGUCUCAUCUGCCGGGAGGCUACGAACCAAGGGGUAGGGAGUUCGAAUCUCUCCGGGCGCGCCA
rnacentral:tRNA from 1 species